rnacentral:sRNA from 1 species
CACGCAGAGGGACGGCAGAUUGGCCUGGAGGAGGCAGUUGCAUGGAGAGCUUUGAAGAUGUACACAUCCUUUGGCUUGGAUUUUCUGCUUCUAGAAAUCCUGAGGGAAUCUGAAAAUCCUGAAGGAGUUAUCACAGAGGUUGCAGUGAGCCGAGAUCAUGCCGCUGCACUCCAGCCCUGGUGACAGACCGAGACUGUUCUUUGAUCCAGGAUCCAGAUGAAGCCCACAUGUUGAAAUUGGUUGAUGUGUCUCUAAGUCUCCCUUAAAUUUCUCCUCCACCAAUUUCUUUUCUGUUCCUGCAUUUUCUUCUCUGAUCACACGGGCUUUUCUUCCAUAAUAGGAAGAGACAUGGAGGUGCCCAAGCCGGCUCUGGAUAAAGGCCUGUCCUCCUCUCUCCCCACAGGACCGGGACUUUGUAGCCAAGCAGAAGGAGGACCUGGAGCUGGCCAUGAAGAGGCUCACCACCGACAACAGGCGGGAGAUCUGUGACAAGGAGCGGGAGUGCCUCAUGAAGAAGCAGGAGCUCCUUCGAGACCGGGAAGC